rnacentral:rRNA from 1 species
GGCGUCGGUCUAUCUAUGCAGUCGAGCGGCAGCGGGAAGUAGUUUACUACUUUGCCGGCGAGCGGCGGACGGGUGAGUAAUGUCUGGGAAACUGCCUGAUGGAGGGGGAUAACUACUGGAAACGGUAGCUAAUACCGCAUGACCUCGCAAGAGCAAAGUGGGGGACCUUCGGGCCUCACGCCAUCGGAUGUGCCCAGAUGGGAUUAGCUAGUAGGUGGGGUAAUGGCUCACCUAGGCGACGAUCCCUAGCUGGUCUGAGAGGAUGACCAGCCACACUGGAACUGAGACACGGUCCAGACUCCUACGGGAGGCAGCAGUGGGGAAUAUUGCACAAUGGGCGCAAGCCUGAUGCAGCCAUGCCGCGUGUGUGAAGAAGGCCUUCGGGUUGUAAAGCACUUUCAGCGAGGAGGAAGGCAGUCGUGUUAAUAGCACGAUUGAUUGACGUUACUCGCAGAAGAAGCACCGGCUAACUCCGUGCCAGCAGCCGCGGUAAUACGGAGGGUGCAAGCGUUAAUCGGAAUUACUGGGCGUAAAGCGCACGCAGGCGGUUUGUUAAGUCAGAUGUGAAAUCCCCGCGCUUAACGUGGGAACUGCAUUUGAAACUGGCAAGCUAGAGUCUUGUAGAGGGGGGUAGAAUUCCAGGUGUAGCGGUGAAAUGCGUAGAGAUCUGGAGGAAUACCGGUGGCGAAGGCGGCCCCCUGGACAAAGACUGACGCUCAGGUGCGAAAGCGUGGGGAGCAAACAGGAUUAGAUACCCUGGUAGUCCACGCUGUAAACGAUGUCGACUUGGAGGUUGUGCCCUUGAGGCGUGGCUUCCGGAGCUAACGCGUUAAGUCGACCGCCUGGGGAGUACGGCCGCAAGGUUAAACUCAAAUGAAUUGACGGGGCCCGCACAGCGGUGGAGCAUGUGGUUAAUUCGAUGCACGCGAAAACCUUCCUACUCUUGACUCCACGGAAUUAGCAAAGAUGCUUCGUGCCUUCGGAACUGUGAAACAGGGCUGAUGGUGG